GAUGAAGAACGCAGCGAAAUGCGAUAAGUAAUGUGAAUUGCAGAAUUCAGUGAAUCAUCGAAUCUUUGAACGCACAUUGCGCCCCUUGGUAUUCCGGGGGGCAUGCCUGUUCGAGCGUCAUUUCAACCCUCAAGCUCUGCUUGGUCUUGGGCCGCGCCGGCGACGGCGGGCCUCAAAAACAGUGGCGGCGCCAUCUGGUUCCUCAGCGUAGUAAUUCUUCUCGCUGUUGGGCCCGGGUGGCCGCUGGCCAGCAACCCCAAAUUUUCUAUGGUUGACCUCGGAUCAGGUAGGGAUACCCGCUGAACUUAAGCAUAUCAAUAAGCGGAGGA
rnacentral:misc_RNA from 1 species